GAUGAACGCUGGCGGCGUGCCUAAUACAUGCGAGUAGAACGCUGAAGGAGGAGCUUGCUCUUCUGGAUGAGUUGCGAACGGGUGAGUAACGCGUAGGUAACCUGCCUGGUAGCGGGGGAUAACUAUUGGAAACGAUAGCUAAUACCGCAUGACAACAGUUAUUGCAUGAUAACUGUUUAAAAGGGGCAACUGCUCCACUACCAGAUGGACCUGCGUUGUAUUAGCUAGUUGGUGAGGUAACGGCUCACCAAGGCGACGAUACAUAGCCGACCUGAGAGGGUGAUCGGCCACACUGGGACUGAGACACGGCCCAGACUCCUACGGGAGGCAGCAGUAGGGAAUCUUCGGCAAUGGACGGAAGUCUGACCGAGCAACGCCGCGUGAGUGAAGAAGGUUUUCGGAUCGUAAAGCUCUGUUGUAAGAGAAGAACGAGUGUGAGAGUGGAAAGUUCACACUGUGACGGUAUCUUACCAGAAAGGGACGGCUAACUACGUGC
rnacentral:rRNA from 1 species